GGUUGGGCGGGUUCCGGGCGGCGUUCGUCCCUCCUACAAUGUCCGCAGCCAGCGCGGCGCGAUGGCACUGGGACAAGGCCUUUUCCUCUGGGUCGUGGAUCCUCUUCUCUAUUACUACGUCCGAUCCCCAGUCGUUCUUCCAAAACAUCAUGAAACGCCCGCUUCUCCAGGAGCCUUCCUUGCCUAUGUCUCAGUUUCUUCUUCUAUAACGUGGACGUAACAUGUUAUUCCCUCCAUAGCUGUGCUCCAUAUGUUUGAUUAUGACUGUUGCUAUUAUUAAUAUUAUUGCUCUAUUAAUUCUGCUCAGCAGGACCUCGAGAUGACUUAAACACAUCUGGCUUCACUGAUGGGGACACACACCAGCUCAGAGAGGUCAAGGGACUUGGCUCAAGUUUUUAAAAAUGAGUCAGAGGCCCACUGGAUUUUACUUUUCAUUCAUUCAUUCAUUCAACAAAUACUGAGCACCUACUAUGUUCCUGGCCUAUUCUAAGGGCUGGGGAUACAACGGCCAACAAGAAGUCCCUGCCCUCCUGGAGCCGACUUUUCAGCUCUGAACCUCUGAGCGCCUCUCCACUGUUCCAGCACUGGACACCAGGCCUGUUACCCAGAAGGUAAUCAGAUCCUGUUUGAACACUUCCAGCUGUGGUCGUCACCUCACAUAGCAUCCACUGGCAUGCUGGCAGUGUUUGUAGGAAGAGGAGUAGUAAUGGCCACUGAGACCAGAAGGUGGAACUUAGCUGGGAGGCUCUCCUUGGCCAGGGGGAGGUGAAAAGGCAUAGAGCACAGGCUGGUACCGAGGCUCUGAAACACAAAGCGCUUCAAGCGUGAUGGAGGGAGCUGCUUUAUUAUUAAACGGCAUCGUUCCCAAGGAAUGGCAACUCUCCACCUCGGCUGAAAACACAACCCGCCUAGAGAAGAAAAUGAAUAUUGAACUUUUAAAAGAAAAAGUCAGAACCCCUUCUACCCCAUGGAAAAUGGUUAUUUCCAUUGCAAGCAAGCGGAAAAUAAUGGGAGUUCAAAGGAGAAUGUGAGGCAAAGAGGUAAGCUAAAAUAACUUUGCUAAGAGCCAGGGACAGUGCAUGCACCAGUAGUCCCCAGCUACUCAGAAGGCUGAGGUGUGAGGAUGGCUUGAGGCCAGGAGUUCCAGACCAGCUUGGGCAACAUAGUGAGAUCCUGUCUGUACAAAAUACUUGAGGCAUGGUGUUACCGGCCUGUGGUCCUAACUACUUGGGAGGCUGGGAUGGAAGGAUCACUUGAGCCCAAGAGUUGUAGUUAGCCUAGGCGAUAUAUAGCAAAACCCCCAUCUCUUAAAGAAGUUUGCUAAGUUAAGGACAAAACUAGUUAACCAUCUAUGGGACAGUAAAACCAUAACCUUUGGGUUAAUCUUGCCUAUUUGACAGAAAUGAUCUGUAUCUUUUACAGGCAAAAAUCUACAAUUAAUAUGUAACUUCACAAAGCCUAAGCCCUAAUAAAUAAUAAAUAGUAAGCCAAAAAAAUGUACACAUUGCUCUAGGGUAGUUCUCAAACUAGCUGUCUCAGAAGCAGCUGGAGGACUUGUUAAAACAGACUGCUGGGCCCCACCUCUGAUUUCCUACUUAGUAGGUCUUGGGUAGAGCCUGAGAAGUGGCAUUUCUAACAAGUUCUUAAGUGAUGCUUAUGGUUUGGGGAGUAGACUUUGAGAACCAUGUCCUAGAGAGUUUAAUAAUCCUUGGGUGAGCCUGUUAGAUGAUGCUUCAACAGGACAAUAAAAGGGUAUCUAGUCAUCCUUCUGCCUUAUUUCCAAGUUCUGGAUGAUUUUCCUUAACACUGAACCUCUCCAGACUUAUUUUCUGUGCAUACACUCUGUAUAUGAAUAUAAAGAACCCAGCUGGGCACGGUGGUUCACACCUAUAAUCCCAGCACUUUGGGAGGCUGAGACAGGUGGAUCACCUGAGGUCAGGAGUUCAAGACCAGCCUGACCAACAUGGAGAAACCCCAUCUCUACUAAAAAUACAAAAUUACUGGGCGUGGUGGUGCAUCACUGUAAUCCCAGCUAAUUGGGAGGCAGGGGCCGGGGGAAUUGCUUGAACCCAGGAGGCGAAGGUUGCAAACUGAGAUCAUGCCACUGAACUCCAGCCUGGGCAACAAGAGUGAAAUUCUAUCUCAAAAAAAAAAAAAAAAGGCUGGGCACAGUGGCUCAUGCCUGUAGUCCCAGUAGUUUGGGAAGCAAAAUCAUGCAGAUCAUGAGGUCAGGAGUUCAAAACCAGCCUGACCAACAUGAUAAAACCCUGUCUGUACUGAAAAUACAAAAAAAAAAAAAAUUAGCCAGGCAUGGUGGUGUGCGCCUGCAGUCCCAGCUACUCAGGAGGCUGAGGCAGGAAAAUUGCUUGAACCCGGGAGGCGGAGGUUGCAGUGAGCCGAGAUCGCACCACUGCAUUCCAUCCAGGGCAAGAGAGGGAGACUCUGUCUCAAAAAAACAAACAAAACAAAAAAACUCUUCAUUUCCCAUAGUAGAAUAAGGACACAAUUCCAAAAAUGGGUUUUAUUUGACAAAUGCCUUUAUUAAAGGAGUGCUAAAAGGAACUACUUUAGGAUUCCCCCCCUCCCCUUUUUAUUGAGAAAGAUCUCACUCUGUCACCCAGGCUGGAGUGCAGCAGCAGCACAAUCAUGGCUCACUGCAGGCUCAACCUCUCAUACUCAUGCCCUACUAACCCACCUCACUAUCUCAGCCUCCCAAGAAGUGGGAACUACAGGCACAUACCACCAUGCCUGGCCAAUUUUUUAAAUUUUUUGUAGAGAUGGGGUUUCCCUAUGUUGCCCAAGCUGGUCUUGAACUCCUGGGCUCAAGCAAUCUGCCUGCCUCAGCCUCCCAAAGUGCUGGUAUUACAGGUGUGAGCCACCAUGCCCCACCAGUAUUUUUAAUAAAUGAACAUUUCCUCGGUCAUCAUCUAUAAGCCACUGAACCUAUACUGAAAAAUAAACAAAAGGAAGAAACUGAUCGUACCAACUUCUGGCUUUCAGGAAAGUCACCUUAAGACUUUUUUUUUUUUUUUAACAGCAACGUAAGUGAUUUGCUAAUAGUUUUCUAUGACUCUGAAAACAGAAAGGAUCUAGGACUAGGAAUAAGGGACUUGUAAGACGUAAAGUUUAAAAACAAGAAAACUAUGACAAAUUUAACCUUGGGACUCACUAGAAUGCCAAUGAAAGCAGAAGACAAGCACUAGGUGAAAUGUCCACUUAGCUCAUGGAAUCCCACAAUGUUUCGGUAUGUGAUUUAUUUUUUAAAGGGGGCAUGGUCUAAAUUGCUUUUAAACUGGCAGUUAGGCCGGGUACGGUGGCUCACCCCUGUAAUCUCAGCACUUUGGCAGGCUGAGGUGUGAGGAUUACUUGAAGUCAGGAGUUCAAGACCAGUCUGACCAAAAUGGCAAAACCUCACCUCUAUUACAAAAUACGAAAGUUAGCUAGGCGUGGUGGUGGGCGCCUGUGAUCCCAGCUACUCAGGAGGCUGAGGCACAAGAAUCCCUUGAUCCUGGAAGGCAGAGGCUGUAGUGAGGAGAGAUAGUGCCAUUGCAGUCAAGCCCAGGCAACACACAGAGACUGUCAGGGAAAAAAAAAACCUUCCCUGGAUGCUUUCAAAUUAUUAUAUUUAUAGUAACCUGGAACAUUAAAGAAUGAAGAAUGGGAUGUAAAAAGUAUGAGGUUCAGGUCAUACUCCCCAUCUUAACCACUCUGUGCAGACUCGCUUUCUCAGGGUGGGUCCAAUAUAAAGCAUUUCCUUGCAACUCCAGCUCCAUAGAUCGUACACCAUUCCUUCACAUACAAAACUGGCCUUAGAAAAGAAACAACAACAAAAAUAAAAAAAAAAAUUAAAAAAUAAAACAACUGGUCUUGACAGCAAAGUAAGGCCAGAUAGACUAGAUCAACUAAACCCUACUGCACAGAUGCUGUGUUUUUUUUUGUUUUGUUUUGUGGUAGUGAGGAGCCUGAAACUGGUGUGUGUAUGGGGGAGUGGGAAGGAUGGAUUUUGCUGAUAAAACCAAAGCUGGGUCUUGGAAAGCUCUAAUAAGCAUCUGGCUUGGUAGCGCUGUCAUCAUGGUAGUGUGUGAAGUGACUGACCUCAUAGCAAGAGUUCAGAGAUCAAGAGGAAGAACAAUUUGGACAGACAUUUCCCAGAACAUCAUAUUAGCAUCCGAAUCAGAAAACCUAGAGUGGCACUAAAGGAUAGGCUGGCACAUACAACUUAGAAGGAAACAAAUCCCUUAAAGAAAAACUGCUGGAGUUGUAAUUUAACUGCUUACUCUAAACUAUUUUGAUUUUUUUUUUGAGACAGUCUUGUUCUGUCCCCAGGCUGGAGUGCAGUGGCACGAUCUCGGCUCACUGCAACCUCUGCUUCCCAAGUUCAAGUGAUCUUCCUGCCUCAGCCUCCCAAGUAGGUGGGACUACAGGCAACACGCCCAGCUAAUUUUUGUAUUUUUAGUAGAGAUGGGAUUUCACCAUAUUGGCUAGGAUGAUCUUGAUCUCCUGACCUCGUGAUCUGCCCGUCUCAGCCUCCCAAAGUGCUGGGAUUACAGGCAUGAGCCACCACACCUGGCCUUAAACUAUUUACAGGCAAUACUAAGUAAGGGGAAUACUAAGCAUGUUUCAUGGUUCUGUGGUUUGAGGAGGGAGGGAUAAAAGGAUAGCUGAGAAAAACACUUCAAAAUUCUUGAGUAUAAAAUCUGUCUUGACUGUAAACACCUUGAAACAAGUAUUCAGAAUGUUCUCCAAUUACUGCAGCCCAAGGACCACAGGGGUUCUAUCUGGAACAUAUACCAGGUUCUCUUCUGGUAAUAAAACUGUUUCCAACUUAACAUCAGUGUGGCCAGUAAUUACAAGUCUUUGGAUUUAUAUAAAUGCCCAUGGAAGAUACAAGAAUAUAAUGCUUUCAAAAAAGAAAUAGGAAGUAAAUACAAAAUUAUAGAACCCCUAAACUCCGGCUUUCUAAGACUUGGUUCUACCCAGGAGCGUUCUUUAAUUACAGUUCUAAUCAGGGGUGUUGAAAUUAUCCAUUUAGAUUCUCCCCAAUAAGAUUAUACUAUCCCAGAAGACAGGGACUAUUUCUUAUGAAAAUGUUUGCUGAAUUGAAGCCAUCCAUGGAAGGCCAAAUAGAUAUAGUUCCCUCAUGAGCUGAGAUCAGAAUCAGCUCCAGUUAAUCGUGACAUACCCUAGAGCCCAUCAGGCAACGUUUGGGUGGGGUUAAAGCCAAGUAUUUCUUUGGGUCUUUCCCUCUACCCACUCCAAUUUUUUUCUUCCUAUUUUACUCUAUUAUACAAAGGCCAGAAUAGUUGCUGACAUCAGCAAUCACUGGUAUUAGACAAAACUUGUCUGGAUCUCAGGAUUCAGAGUAUUCAAGGUAUAUACUUUUAUACUUACAACUACAUUCACGUCUUUAAAAACAUCAUUCUAUGGGUCACUUAUGAAAUAUCCAAAUAACAGGAACUUUUGUAAUGGGCAUGAGAAACUUCUAGAUCUUGUUUAACUAUCUAUGCUACAGGCACAAACUAAAGGAAAUUCUCUGCUGGCACUGUUUUCACUUCUUAACAAAACCACAUGAAAGACCACUUGGUGAAAACGGCAGCACUUAUCAACUAAAAAUUAACAACACAAAAACCAGUAAUAGUUCUUGUUAUCAUUUCAAGUAGUCUUUUGAUUCAACUUCUGAGGGAGAAGAGGUCCAAAGUCUCAGUUUAAUCUGAUAAUUUGUUAAUUGCAGUUCUAAUGUGUGUGUGUGUGUGUGGCGGGGGGGUACUCUUUCAAGCAGGGUCUUUAAGAAGUAAAAACAAUGUUACCAGUCAUAAAGUUUCCCACCCAGUGUCAAAACAGAAAAUCCUAGUCAGCCCUGAGAGUGAGCCAAACUGAAAUAUGGUAAAAAUCUUACUUAUUCUCUCUGGGAAGACCAAAAGUUACACAAAUCUGUGCUAUGAAAAUUUUCCCACUCUUCUCUCUAGCAGGAGGUAAAGUGUAUACACCUUUAAAAAAGCAUGUAUUCUGGAAAAACAUCCCAGGAUCUGAACUUUCUAAAUAAACAGGUAGGAUUCCUUCCUUUCCAAAGGGAACCUACUGGUUGUGCUCUCAUUCACAUGUCCUGAGACCAUCACAGGUCCAGGUGGUCCCAGGACUGCAAAGGGCUACAGGAAACAAGAAAAAACCACCACCUCAUGAAGAUUAACCAGGAAUAUGUCCAUGGGUCAGGGAGAAGCUAAUAUAAUAAAUAACUCAAAAUAUUCCCUUAAAUAACAUCUUACUCCUUCUUAAUCGAGAUUGACAUUGGGUGCUUUGCUUCUACAAAAACAGAAAAAUGUAGAUGGAUAUUCAAAUACUUCACAGUCAUUUUAGUCACAAGCACAUCAUUUUAAUAAGAACAAUUUCCUUUAAAAAUAAAUCUGUAAUAAAUUAUGAACAGAAUCCUAAUUCGUCAGUUUGCUAUCCUUUCUCCACUUAGGUUGGAUUUCCUUCAUGAAUCUAUCCAUCCAUAUAAAUACUGCCUCUAUAGAUAUUUUAUAUUUAUUUUAAACAACCCCAUCUAUUCUCUUGCAUCAUUCAGUUAUUUCUAUUUUUUGUUUCUUUAAGAUGAAGUAUCGCUUCAUCACCCAGGCUGGAAUGCAGUGGUGCAACCUUGGUUCACUGCAACCUCCGCCUCCUGGGUUCAAGCAAUUCUCUGGUCUCAGCCUCUGAGUAGCUGGGACUACAGACAUGCACCACCAAGCCCAGCUAAUUUUUGUAUUUUUAGUAGAGAUGGCAUUUCACCAUGUUGACUAGGCUGGCCUUGAACUCCUGACCUCCAGUGAUCUGCCUGCCUCGGCCUCCCAAAGUGCUGGGAUAACAGGCGUAAGCCACUGCAGCUGGCCUUCUAUUUUCCUUUUACUUCUUUGUGUUUUCUUUUUUUUGAGACAUCUGUGCAGUGGUGCGAUCUCAGCUCACUGCAACCUCCACCUCCCAGGUUCAAACGAUACUCCUGCCUCAGCCUCCUGCCAGGUGCAUGGCACACCUGGCUAAUUUUUGUAUUUUUAAAUUUUAUUUUACCUGUACAUGUCAAGAAUUUUUUUUUUACCUAUACAUUAAUUUUUGUGCUUUUUUAGUAGAGAUGAGGUUUCACCAUAUUGGCCAGGCUGGUCUCAAACUCCUGACCUCAUGAUUUGCCCACCUCAGCCUCCCAUGUGCUGGGAUUACAGGCGUGAACCAUUGCACCUGACCUUUUCUUCUUCUUCUUCUUUUUUUUUCAGAGAGUCUUUCUCUGUCGCCCAGGCUGGAGGCAGUGGUGCAAUUUUGGCUCACUGCAACCUCUGCCUCCUCGGUUCAAGCAAGUCUCACGCCUGAGCCUCCCAAGUAGCUGGGACUACAGGCUUAUGCUGUCACAUCUGCCUUAUUUUCUAUAUUCUUAGUAGAGAUGUGGUUUUGCCAACGUUGGCCAGGCUGGUCUUGAACUCCUGACCUCAGGUGAUCUGCCUGCCUCGGCCUCCCAAACUGCUGGGAUUAUAGGCACGAGCUACUGCACCCGGACUUUUUUUUUAAAAAAAAAACACAGUCUCACUCUGUUCUCUAUGCCAGAAUGCAGUGGCGCAAUCUCAGUUCAAGCAAUUCUUGUGAGUCAGCCUCCUGAGUAACUGGAAUUACAUAUGUGCCACCACGUCUGGCUGGUUUUGUUUUGUUUUUUUGAAAUGGAGUUUUACUCUUGUUGCCCAGGUGGAGUGCCAUCUCAGCUCACUGCAAUCAUCUCCACCUCCUGGGUUCAAGCAAUUCUCCUGCUGAGGCUCCUGAGUAGCUCGCAUGCACCACCAUGCCCGGCUAACUUUGUAUAUUUAGUAAAGAUGGGUUUUCUCCAUGUUGGUCAGCAUGGUCUCAAACUCCUGACCUCAGGUGAAACCUACCCACUUCAGCCUCCCAAAAUGUUGGGAUUACAGGUGUGUGCCACCAUGCCCAGCCUCUUUUUUGUAUUUUUUUUUUUUUUUUUUUAGU